rnacentral:rRNA from 1 species
CUACGUGCCAGCAGCCGCGGUAAUACGUAGGGCGCGAGCGUUGUCCGGAAUUAUUGGGCGUAAAGAGCUUGUAGGCGGUUGGUCGCGUCUGCUGUGAAAGGCCGGGGCUUAACUCCGGUUUUGCAGUGGGUACGGGCUAACUAGAGUGCAGUAGGGGAGACUGGAAUUCCUGGUGUAGCGGUGGAAUGCACAGAUAUCAGGAGGAACACCGAUGGCGAAGGCAGGUCUCUGGGCUGUAACUGACGCUGAGAAGCGAAAGCAUGGGGAGCGAACAGGAUUAGAUACCCUGGUAGUCCAUGCCGUAAACGUUGGGCACUAGGUGUGGGGGACAUUCCACGUUUUCCGCGCCGUAGCUAACGCAUUAAGUGCCCCGCCUGGGGAGUACGGCCGCAAGGCUAAAACUCAAAGGAAUUGACGGGGGCCCGCACAAGCGGCGGAGCAUGCGGAUUAAUUCGAUGCAACGCGAAGAACCUUACCAAGGCUUGACAUGCAUUAGAUCGCGUCAGAGAUGG